UACAUGCCCCGCAUUUUUGUUAUCGCAAAACUUAAUUAUUAUCGAUGGAAUAUGGGAGUGUUCCUGAAGCCACUUUGUCGCUGUUAGAUUUUCAAUAUGGACUGGUGCCACAAGAUUAUGCUAGUUGUGUUCGAUUAUGUGUGAGAAGAAAUAACGGUCGCUUUGAGUUAAAUACUACGAAAGCUGUUGGAAAACCUAACUUUGUAUUUAAACCAUAGCUACACCGAGGUCAAUGCAAAAUACCAUGCACCUUCCUUAAAAUGUAUAUUUCUGUGCCUUACAGUUAUGGGUGCAUAAAAACGAAGGGGAAGGCAUCGGAGAGAGACAACUCCAGUCGGAUCGCACUUAGUCAACAAGGGAGAGAAUCUGGUGGCGAAUACCUAUAGUGUGCCGAGGAUAUGAAAAGGCUAUGAGAGCGGUUCCGCACGGGCGUGGUAGGCGCCACGCUCGUAAAGCAAGAGCAUCCGCUUGUUUGUGUACUGAGAAAAAUGUUGUCCCAACUUUAAAGAUUUGUUCCACAGAUAAACAACAACAUUUUUUUUUUUUAAACUAGAAUAUGGACCUAAUCUUAGUAUUAGAGACAAAAAAUCAUCCACAUAUCUUUACAUGGCACUGUAGUUAACGAAACCGAAAUAGGAAUGUCCUUAAACAUGCAUAAUUGAAACGAAAAGAUGUUAAUUCAUAUAAUAGGAUAUUUCUACAAAGAAAAUAUUGAGAGUCUUUUGUGAAGUAAAAUGAAAUUUAGUCGGCCUAAUUCGAAGUACGUUUGUAUAUAGUGACUACUAUUUAAAGAUAGUAUCUUUCUUCAAGGCAUAAGUCUUUAAUUUUAAGUAAUCUUCUCGUCUAAUGCUGGCGACAUUUGUGAGGUAUGCAUAGAAGCCGUGAAGAAACUUCUUCCCAAGGAGGUGUCGCACUGCGGCACGUCGCGCAGUGGGAUAGAAACGAAAAA
rnacentral:sRNA from 1 species